AAGUCGUAACAAGGUUUCCGUAGGUGAACCUGCGGAAGGAUCAAUACGAAGAGUGGAGAGAGGAGAGUGGGGAUAUGUUGAAAGAGAUAUAGACAAUGUUUUUACAUUUUACAACCAUAUCACACACAACUCAUAACAAUGGAUCUCUGGGCUCUU
rnacentral:misc_RNA from 1 species